rnacentral:rRNA from 1 species
GAUGAACGCUGGCGGCGUGCCUAAUACAUGCAAGUCGAGCGAAUGGAUUAAGAGCUUGCUCUUAUGAAGUUAGCGGCGGACGGGUGAGUAACACGUGGGUAACCUGCCCAUAAGACUGGGAUAACUCCGGGAAACCGGGGCUAAUACCGGAUAACAUUUUGAACCGCAUGGUUCGAAAUUGAAAGGCGGCUUCGGCUGUCACUUAUGGAUGGACCCGCGUCGCAUUAGGUAGUUGGUGAGGUAAAGGCUCACCAAGGCAACGAUGCGUAGCCGACCUGGGAGGGUGAUCGGGCACACUGGGACUGAGACACGGCCCAGACUCCUACGGGAGGCAGCAGUAGGGAAUCUUCCGCAAUGGACGAAAGUCUGACGGAGCAACGCCGCGUGAGUGAUGAAGGCUUUCGGGUCGUAAAACUCUGUUGUUAGGGAAGAACAAGUGCUAGUUGAAUAAGCUGGCACCUUGACGGUACCUAACCAGAAAGCCACGGCUAACUACGUGUCAGCAGCCGCCGUAA